AUUGAACGCUGGCGGAAUGCUUUACACAUGCAAGUCGAACGGCAGCACGGACUUCGGUCUGGUGGCGAGUGGCGAACGGGUGAGUAAUGUAUCGGAACGUGCCCAGUCGUGGGGGAUAACGUAGUGAAAAUUACGCUAAUACCGCAUACGAUCUAUGGAUGAAAGCGGGGGAUCGCAAGACCUCGCGCGAUUGGAGCGGCCGAUAUCAGAUUAGGUAGUUGGUGGGGUAAAGGCCCACCAAGCCAACGAUCUGUAGCUGGUCUGAAAGGACGACCAGCCACACUGGAACUGAGACACGGGCCAGACUCCUACGGGAGGCAGCGGUGGGGAAUUUUGGACAAUGGGCGAAAGCCUGAUCCAGCCAUUCCGCGUGCAGGAUGAAGGCCCUCGGGUUGUAAACUGCUUUUGUACAGAACGAAAAGGUUUCUACUAAUACUAGGAGCUCAUGACGGUACUGUAAGAAUAAGCACCGGCUAACUACGUGCCAGCCGCCGCGGUAA
rnacentral:rRNA from 1 species